rnacentral:rRNA from 1 species
GACGAACGCUGGCGGCGUGCUUAACACAUGCAAGUCGAACGGAAAGGCCCUGCUUUUGUGGGGUGCUCGAGUGGCGAACGGGUGAGUAACACGUGAGUAACCUGCCCUUGACUUUGGGAUAACUUCAGGAAACUGGGGCUAAUACCGGAUAGGAGCUCCUGCUGCAUGGUGGGGGUUGGAAAGUUUGGGCGGUUGGGGAUGGACUCGCGGCUUAUCAGCGUGUUGGUGGGGUAGUGGCUUACCAAGGCUUUGACGGGUAGCCGGCCUGAGAGGGUGACCGGCCACAUUGGGACUGAGAUACGGCCCAGACUCCUACGGGAGGCAGCAGUGGGGAAUAUUGCACAAUGGGCGGAAGCCUGAUGCAGCAACGCCGCGUGCGGGAUGACGGCCUUCGGGUUGUAAACCGCUUUCGCCUGUGACGAAGCGUGAGUGACGGUAAUGGGUAAAGAAGCACCGGCUAACUACGUG